rnacentral:rRNA from 1 species
GGUCUGAGAGGAUGAUCCGCCACACUGGGACUGAGACACGGCCCAGACUCCUACGGGAGGCAGCAGUGGGGAAUAUUGGACAAUGGGCGAAAGCCUGAUCCAGCCAUGCCGCGUGUGUGAAGAAGGCCUUUUGGUUGUAAAGCACUUUAAGCGAGGAGGAGGCUACUGAGAUUAAUACUCUAGGAUAGUGGACGUUACUCGCAGAAUAAGCACCGGCUAACUCUGUGCCAGCAGCCGCGGUAAUACAGAGGGUGCGAGCGUUAAUCGGAUUUACUGGGCGUAAAGCGUGCGUAGGCGGCUUUUUAAGUCGGAUGUGAAAUCCCUGAGCUUAACUUAGGAAUUGCAUUCGAUACUGGGAAGCUAGAGUAUGGGAGAGGAUGGUAGAAUUCCAGGUGUAGCGGUGAAAUGCGUAGAGAUCUGGAGGAAUACCGAUGGCGAAGGCAGCCAUCUGGCCUAAUACUGACGCUGAGGUACGAAAGCAUGGGGAGCAAACAGGAUUAGAUACCCUGGUAGUCCAUGCCGUAAACGAUGUCUACUAG